rnacentral:rRNA from 1 species
UACAGAGGCCCCAAGCGUUACUGAGAAUCACUGGGUUUAAAGGGUGCGUAGGUGGUCCGUUAAGUCUGUUGUGAAAGCCCUUGGCUCAACCAAGGAAUCGCUUCGGAUACUGGCGGACUUGAGGCUAGUAGAGGUCACUGGAACUGACGGUGGAGCGGUGAAAUGCGUAGAUAUCGUCAGGAACGCCGGUGGUGAAGACGGGUGACUGGGCUAGUUCUGACACUGAGGCACGAAAGCGUGGGGAGCGAACGGG